CCUACGGGUGGCAGCAGUGGGGAAUAUUGGACAAUGGGGGAAACCCUGAUGCAGCGACGCCGCGUGAGUGAAGACGUAUCUCGGUAUGUAAAGCUCUAUCAGCAGGGAAGAAAAUGAAGGUACCUGACUAAGAAGCCACGGCUAACGACGUGCCAGCAGCCGCGGUAAUACGUCGGGGGCAAGCGUGAUCCGGAUUUACUGGGUGUAAAGGGAGCGUAGACGGCAGAGCAAGUCUGAAGUGAAAGCCCGCGGGCCAACUGCGGGACUGCUUUUGAGACUGCCAGGCUAGAGUGCUGGCGAGGUAAGCGGAAUUCGUGGUGUAGCGGUGAAAUGCGUAGAUAUUAGGAAGAACACCAGUUGUGAAGGCAGCUUACUGGACAGUAACUGACGUUGAUGCUCGAAAGCGUGGGUAUCAAACAGGAUUAGAUACCCUUGUAGUC
rnacentral:rRNA from 1 species